AAUUUGAUUCUGGUUUAUUAUUUCAUUAAUUAAACAUUUUACAUGUAAAUUUUGUUGUGAAUCAAUAGUUAAUCUUAAAGGUAUUUUGAUUAUUCGCAGUAAAAAGGAUUAAUUAUUAGGGUAACCUAGAAUUGGUGAUUUAAUUUAACAUUGGCUAAAUUCGUGCCAGCCGCCGCGGUUAUACGUGGAAUGUAAGUGAAUUAUUUUAGUUGAAAGUUGAUUUAUGAGUAUAUUAAAGUUAAAUUUAUUUUUGAAGGUGGAAUUUGUAUAAUUUGAAUAACUUUAUAUUAAAUUUAAUGAGGCUUUGAAAUUUUAAUAAUAGACUAGGAUUAGAUACCCUAUUAUAUAAAGACUAAAAUUUGAGAAGCUAGGGUAGUAGUAGUUAAGGUCUUGAAACCCAAAGAAUUUGGCGGUGUUUUAGUCUAGUCAGAGGAAUUUGCCCCGUAACUGAUAAUACGCGUUUUAAUAGACUUAGUUUUGAAUUUCAGUAUGUAUACCGCCGUCAUAAGAAUAUCUUUGGAGAGAAAAAUUUUCUUGAUAUUUAUUUUGGAAUAGUAUGUCAGGUCGAGGUGCAGCUUAUAACUAAGUGGAGGUGAAUUACAAUAAAAUAAUUUAAACGGAUUUUUUCUUGUAAUAUGUUAAAUGAAGGUGGAUUUGAAAGUAAUAUUAUUUUAAUAUAAUAAUAUGAUUUUAGCUCUAAAACAUGUACACAUCGCCCGUCGCUCUCGCUAUAAGGUGAGAUAAGUCGUAACAAAGUAGGCGUACUGGAAAGUGUGCCUAGAAAGAU
rnacentral:ncRNA from 1 species